GCUGCCCCAAGAUAUUGGAAAGUUGAUGAAUUUGGAACUCUUGAGCCUGAUCUCAUGCACUGAUUUGGUAGAGUUGCCAGAUUCUAUUGGAAGGCUUUUAAAUCUAAGACUACUUGACAUCUCCAACUGCAUAAGCCUUUCAAGUUUACCUGAGGACUUCGGCAAUCUGUGUAAUCUAAGAAAUCUAUACAUGUCUAGUUGUACAAGUUGUGAAUUGCCAUUUUCAGUUGUCAAUCUUGCGAAUUUAAAGGUGAUAUGUGAUGAAGAGACGGCUGCUUCAUGGGAAUCUUUCCAAUCUAUGAUUUCCAAUCUCACUAUAGAGGUUCCUCAAGUUGAAGUCAACUUAAAUUGGCUUCAUGCAGGUCGCUCCUAAAAUUUGCAUGCGCUCUUCCUCUGCCUUUGCUAAUCUUUGUGGCAGUGUUCUUCAAAUGAAUGAAUACUUAUCAUGGGUAAUAGAGGUGGUUGUUGGUACCUCAGAAAUGGCUCCCAACGGAGGGGCUGAGUGGAUGCUAGCUCUUAGGUACAGCUCACAUCAACCAUCCGAACUGCUUCAUCAGGUGGUGACCUCUGGCCUUUCAACACUUGGGGGCUAGACAUUCUUUGGCCUUUCCACCUGCACCAGGUUUGUUAAUUCAUCAACCAUUCUUUGGUGAAUCAUCCACAAGCAAAUAAACAGGUUGGAUCAACUAACAAAAUCAUUUUCAAUGAAUGAAGAAAAUGAUUGGAUCAAGCAAAAGCAGAAUAGACAGAGGAGCUAAUAAGAGUAUUGUAGACAAAUCACAUUACACCCCAGUCAUCAACACAUAAAACACCUUUCAAACUUGUCUACAUAUUUCAUGCAAUGGUAUCAGUAUAACUCACAUCAGCUUCAAUCUGUGCGAAUUUAAUAAAUGAGUCCGCAUCGAGAUCAAACAGGAGAAUAGAUCUUGACUUACUCUACGAAGUCAGGGAACUAGUGUACAUAACUAAGUAUGUUUCAAAACUUAGGACUGCAAAUAGGUAUAACAGCAAAGUUAAAUCUAGAAAUUUCAAGGAAGGAGAUUAGUCUUACGGAAGACCGAGAAGGUAACGAAUAAAAAACACGGAAAGCUAGCGGCUAGUUGGAAAGGACCAUAUGGAUCAGCUCCGCUCUGUGCAAAAGAGCAUACAAGCUAGAAGGCCGAGCUAGAAACAUUUAUCUGAGAUUGUGGAAUGCCACACACCUCAAACUCUAUUUAUUUAGAUUUCUUGUAAUAUGAUGUACUCUUUUUCCUGCUUGGACCUUUUUUCUCGAAAAAGUUUUUGGUUCUUGGAGGUUUUAACUAGCACAUCUUUUUUUUUCCAUUUCAUUAUCAAUAAAGUCUUUGUUCAUUAUACUAUGAUCUCCAUUAAAAGAAAACACAUAAGCCUGAUGUGUUUCCGUCAAUGAGUCAAUUCAAUAUAUAAUAUAAGCUUGAACAGGCAAAUACAGUAUUUCUUUUAUUUAUCUCAGUAUAAAUAGCCUUACAACACAUGAACUUUACAUAGAAGAUUGCAUAAAAAGGAAUAUACAUGUACAAUUACAAGUCUUAUAUCAUCUAGGUGAAGAUGCAACAUCCAACAGGACAAACCCAUAUCCUACCCCAUGUACCAUCUCAGGAGUAAAAGAUGAGGCACAGUUUCACGUCAGCAAUCUGGUAUUAAUGUAAGGGAGGAACUCCUUUACAACUAGAAAAUGUAGUAUUCAAAUUUUCUUGAAAAUCAAUCAACCAAGGAGGCUCUCUUUUGGUAAACCAUAUUGUUCUCACAAAUCAGGGCAUAAAUGUUCACUGUUGGUCAAUAUAUUGGUUCUUAAACUCACCAUCAACGAGUGAUAAAAACAGUAUGUUUGACCAAUAACGAACAACCUCAGCCGAAUUUAAUAUACACGUCUCAAACUUUUGAAGAAUUAAAAUUUGGAGAAUGUUUCAAAGCUAGCGAGGGAAACAGAAAAUUGAUUCAUAGCAAAGGAAACAACUAUUUUAUAAGCCAAAACCAAAACAUAAAAGUUAAUGAAAAACAGUGUCUUCUUAAGGUUCUCGACCUUGUCCUUCAAAAACAACUUACUCGACUUUAACCUUUUCAUCUCGUAUUCCAAUAUUUUGAUCUCCCAUGUCAGACCUUCAAAUUUGACACCAACAUCUUCAAACACUUUUUCAACUUCCUUCCUUGACUUCUUCUCAUCCUCCAAAAGUUUUUCAAUUUCUUACUUGUCUUACAAGCAACAAUCAUUUUUCUUUUCGGCCAGCUUGUGCAACCUUUUUUGAAGGUUAUCUUUGCCAUUCCUCGCCAUGUCUAACCUAUACUCUCUCGCAUAGAUAUUUUAUUGUUAUUGUUGGGCAGCACAUAGAGCACGAAGGAGGUAAGAUGUGGAAACCACACACAGACAUUUUUUAGCCGAAAACUUUGUACAGUAUGUUGAUAAGACGCGACAGGGUGAUCUGCAACAGGACAGUUGAGUAAACCCCAUGUUACUGGCAGCUGCAAGCAUGACAUUCUUUGAAGAACACGACCAAUUGUUACCGGCAUUUGUUACCGAGGGGAAUUAUUUGGAAGCGGUUCCUCUAACGUUUUUGUGGGAACUCACAUUUGAGGGACAUAAUUUCUCCCUCUAUAUCAAUCAUUUAGAAAAUGAAUCCCAUUGAGAAAACACAGCCAACCUCAGCUGAAUUUAGCUUCCAUCAACAGCGGGUUAAUUAUGGACCAAAUUUAAAUGAGACGGGUCAACCUGCAUUGCCAUCUGUAUUUGAAAUUAGGGGUGUUCGUGGUGCAAUUUCAAUCGGUUUUGAGACAAAAACUCAUCUGAUCCAAAGUUAAAUUACCUGCGGUUCAGUUUUUGACGACUCGUUUAAAAAAUUGGAUCUGAAUUGAUCCAAUUUAAUGCAUAUUAUUUUGGAUUGGUUCUUGAAUAUGCAAAUUACAAAUUGUAAAUAAUAAGUUUGAUGCAAAAUAUAACACAUAAUAUGUUGAUGAAAAUUUUCGAUUAUAUUUCAAACAUAGAAAAUAGUAAAAAGUAUAAUAAAUUAAAUUGGGAUAUAGGUGGAAGAUUGGAGAUGGCUCCCAGAUCAAAGUUUGGUCCACAUCAUGGAUUCAUUCACUUUCUACUCUUCGACCCUCAACAACGCCACCUCCACAUCUGGAACAUUUAUUGGUUCGUGAUUUAAUAAAUCCUGAUUUGCAUACUUGGAAUAGUUCGCUCAUUAGUAACAUCUUUUCCAUCUCAGAAGCUUCGGUCAUUUGCAGACUGCCACUCCAUACGUGUAACCUGCAUGAUACUCGAGUUUGGCAAAUCGGCUUAUAACUUAUGCAUGUCUCUGAAAACUGACGCUAAUGUUUCCCCCACUGCAGCUGCGCAUAAUUGGAACAUUAUUUGGAUACAACAUGUGCCUCCUAGAGUAUGUUCCCUGUUAUGGAGAAUGGCUCAUUGUUGCCUUCCAACCCGCACUCGCUUGAUCCAGAAAGGUUUAUCUAUUGACGAUACUUGUGUUCAUUGCGAUGUCCUGGAUGAAUCCCACAUCUAGUCAUUCUUUGUGUGCCCAAAAGCAAUCAAUUGUUUGAACAAGUCCAAUUGGAUGGUAUUGUGCGAGAGUUACCACGUGAUGCUAUUGAUUUCAGAUCUCUUCUUUUUUAUUUCUUUAGCAGGUUACAAACACAUACCCAGGCAACAACAUCUAUUAUUCUAUGGAGUUUGUGGAAAAAUAGAAACUCUAAAUUAUGGCAAGCAGGGACACACCCUCCUCAUCAUUGAUCGUUCAGCGAGCGCAUAAUUCCCUUCAUGAAUGACCCUGUUUACAAAGAGCAAGACAAUCUAACCAAAAUAUUUCAGUUUAAAAUACAAUGUAGAUUGUGCCCUCUUCAACAACAAUACCAUCACAUGGCUCGUCAUCUGCUAUCGAGACUCUUCAGGGGCAUUACAUUAUGGAUCAUCUAACUACUCUUUAUAUACUUCUUCCCCUUCAGAAGCCGAGGCUCUAAGCCUUAACCUUCGCUGACAAUCAAGGCAUUGAGUCUGUCAUAUUUGAGUCUGAUUGUAAGCUAGUUCUUUUAUUCUAUUUGGCAAGUAUUUGGAAGUGUUGGCUAAAGGGAAAACAUCACAAGCUAUUGCGAAACUCAUGGAUUUAACACCUGAUACAGCAACCUUACUAACUCUUGAUGAUGAUAAGGGAAAUGUUAUAGGUGAAAGAGAAAUUGAUAGCAGGUUGAUACAGAAGAAUGAUGUGAUCAAAGUUGUGCCGGGCGCGAAAGUAGCAUCAGAUGGUUUUGUUGUUUGGGGACAAAGUCAUGUAAAUGAGAGUAUGAUAACUGGUGAGGCAAAGCCUGUUGCUAAGAUGAAGGGUGAUAUGGUGAUUGGUGGUACUGUGAAUGAAAAUGGUGUUUUGCAUGUUAAGGUAGCAAGGGUUGGAUCAGAAACUGCACUUUCCCAGAUUGUUAGACUUGUUGAGUCUGCUCAGAUGGCUAAAGCUCCUGUCCAGAAAUAUGCUGACCAGAUUUCUAAAUACUUUGUUCCUAUAGUAAGUGUAAAUUACUAAUACUAACUAGCUCCGUGAUUUUUACGAAAACUAAACUACUGAGCUUCAACAAAAUCACGGUGUCAAUACAAUUUUGUCAAAUUCACCGUGAUUUCAAACAUGUAUUAUGUGUUUAAACAUUUAAGUCAAAUAAUAGAAUUGUAUUUUACAUAUACUUACUGGUGCCUGUUUUUGUAGGUGAUUGUGUUAUCUCUUUCAACAUGGAUAUCAUGGUUUGUAGCUGGAAAAUUGCAUUCAUACCCAAAAUCAUGGAUACCAUCUUCUAUGAAUAAUUUCGAGCUUGCACUUCAGUUUGGAAUUUCAGUCAUGGUCAUAGCUUGUCCUUGUGCUCUAGGCCUCUACUCCUACAGCGGUCAUGGUUGGUACUGGAGUUGGUGCAACUCAAGGUGUGUUGAUCAAAGGUGGCCAAGCAUUAGAAAGUGCACACAAGGUGAAGGCAAUUGUUCAAAACAAGGAAAUAAUGGUUGGAAAUAAAAAACUGAUGUUAGAUCAUAACAUAGCUAUUUCAGUGGAAGCUGAAGAAAUACUAGCAGAAGCUGAAAACAUGGCUCAAACAGGAAUUUUGGUAUCAUUGGAUGGAGAAAUUGUUGGAGUUUUGGCUGUGUCUGAUCCACUGAAACCUGAUGCAAAAGAAGUUAUUUCUAUUCUUAAAUCCAUGAAAAUAAAGAGCAUAAUGGUGACAGGUGAUAAUUGGGGAACUGCAAAUUCUAUAGCUAGACAAGCUGGUAUUGAAACUGUCAUGGCAGAGGCUCAACCUGAAACUAAAGCUAUUAAAGUAAAAGAAUUGCAGGUACACACAAAAUUAUGGUCCCCAAUUACCAAAUUAUUGCUUCACUCCUUUAGGGUUUCCUCUCAUGGUUUUAAUACUUUGUUCAUUGUAGGACAUUUAUUCAAUUAUUAUAGUGUUUAUUGGUUUUAAUCUCUAAAAAAUUUUAUUUGGAUUGAGUCCGUGCAAAUUCAAUAACUGCUGUUUUUUAGUCUUUAACGUCAGCUUAUUGGGUCACAUAUGACGUCAGAGACUAAAACCAAUCGUGUUUAAUUUGUAAGGAUUGAAUCUGAACAAAAUAUUUAGCGGGACUAACCAAGUAAUUUGACUCAAAUAGUCAAUAAGCUCCUCUAGGACGAAUCAUUCAGGAAAACUCGAAUUUGAUUUUUGCUGGCAACAAUUUUUGGUCAGACUUUAUUUAUCCGAGUUCAAAAUAAUUUGCAAUAAUUGCAAAAACUAAAAUCAUAUUUAACCUUCAUUUUUUUUAUAUAUUAAAAUUGAACAAAAUUUACUUAGACUUCAAAUAAUUAAAAUUUGUAGGGACCAAAAAUAUAUUAACCCUAUAUAAUCUUUAGACAAUCAUGUGAUAGUUAUUUGACAUACUUGGUGGCAGAAUUCUGGAUACACAGUAGGAAUGGUAGGAGAUGGUAUAAAUGAUUCACCAGCACUAGUAGCAGCUGAUGUUGGAAUGGCAAUUGGUGCUGGAACAGACAUUGCUAUUGAAGCAGCUGACAUUGUUCUUAUGAAGAGUAACUUAGAGGAUAUAAUAAUUGCCAUUGACCUUGCAAAGAAAACUUUCUCACGUAUACGUCUAAAUUAUAUUUGGGCUUUAGGUUAUAAUAUUCUAGCCAUUCCUAUUGCUGCUGGCAUACUUUUUCCUUCUACUAAAUUUAGGUUACCACCUUGGAUUGCUGGAGCUGCAAUGGCUGCUUCUUCUAUCAGUGUUGUUUGCUCUUCUCUCUUGUUGAAGAAAUACAAGAAACCAACCAAGCUUAACAACUUGGAGAUGAAUGGUAUUCAGAUUGAAUAAUCAACUUGUCAAUUGUAUAUUUGUAACUAUAAUAACUAGGCUUGUUUAUUGGGAGCAACAUUUUGUUAUGUUGCAAUUGUAAUUUCAAUGUAAAUUAAAAAGUAAGUAAUUAUUUUUCUUAAAAAAAGUAAUUAGCUUUAGUAAAAAUAGAUGUUUUAUAUGUACAAACUAUAUUAAGGAACAAUUAUUUUUAAUCUGGAAGAAUGUUGAAAUUAUGAUUAUAGGCAUUUUAUAAUAAGGUGUUCAAAUUCAGUACAUGUUGGAACAUCAAUGAAAAUAUGAGAACUAGCUAGAGAUGUGGGCCACAUCUAGCUAUCCUUGAUGGAGCGUGAGCUACCGAUCAUUUGUUUCUCUUAAUAAACUCAACACGAGUUUUCCAAAUGAAAAAAGAAAAAACGUCCACACUACCUAUUAAUGUCUCCGAAUUCUUUGACGUCAAUCUUAUCACUAUUAAAAAGAUCAAUUGAUCUUUUAGUGUAGUGUAAUCCACUUGACCACUUGUCCCAGAUGCAAGUCAUGAACUCAAGUGAGCGGAUGAAGAUGGCCCAAGGCUUCCCCUAUUUGGUGAAAUCCGAAUUGUUUUGGCGAUUUUGAUGUGAACAGAAUGGUCCGCCAGAGUUGCAUUUGUAGCGCCCGGUCGCUGGUUUCAUCCAAUUUGUAUCAGAAUGUCUGGUGUAACAGCUCCACCCAAAUAUGCAGUGUAUUCUCCCUGCUCCAAUUUUCAGUCAAGUAUUUGACCAUGUCCAUAAUUUGCAAACUAGCUUCAAAGACAUUAUUCCUCAAUUUUCGCUCCUUUAAAAUAGUCCCAAAUCAGUCUGAAAAAUUCAGACGAAAACUUAAUCGUCCGAAAACACAGUUUUUUUUAGUAGCGUCGUUUUAGUUUUGUUAGCUUUCUAGCUUAUUGAACUUAUGAUUUUUUUACAUUGAAACUUUAAAAAGUAAUUAUUUUUUACAUAAAACUUAUCUAUUAUUAAAGAUAUUAAUGGUCAAAAUUGUACAUUGACAUAUGUGAAGUGGACUUGAACAUGUAUUUUGAAACGAGAGUAUAUUUUAAGGUUACAAGACUAAGAUUUUAAUGUUAAGUCAUGUAAUAUUGAUGAUAUUCAUUAACUACAACUUGUGCUCAAAUAUAUCUAAAAAGAGGUGGUCAAUAAUGUCGAAAAUUAACCAUGGUUAAUGAGUUGAGGGAUGGUUAUCAACUAAGAAUAACUAACCACAUAUUUAAAUUGUAUUAACAAUCUAUAAUCUAAUUUUGAUGUGGAAUUUAUGUUUCCAAAGACCAUUUUUCUUUUCUAAGAACAAUAAGAAAUACGCGGUUAACUUUUGCUAACACCACUGAUAUAUAGCACCUUGAUGUGAUUAUGUGUCAACACGACAUUGAAACGAAAAAGCAAAGAAAGUAACAUAGAGAGGAAAUUACAAGGAAACUUCGUGAUAAAAUAUCUAUAUAAACCUUCAUUGAUUUCCUCUUUCUUCAACAAAAAAUUUCAAUUUCAUUUUCAUCAACAAUAACAACAAUGAUAGGCAUUAGGCAAGACAGAAGUACAACACCUGGUUGUCGUUUCAAAGGUAUAAUAUGCUAAACUUUCACUUUUAAAUCCUCGUUGUUUUUUCUUCAUUUUAUAACUUGUUCUUUGUUCGAUUUGAAUGUAAAAAAGGAAGGAAAAAUAAUUAAACAGGUUAGGUUGGUCCAUGCAAAGUGUUCGACAACACAUGAUUCAGCAUCUUAGCGUUCAAUGCGGGAAAAGAUAUUAACAACUAGCAAUAUAUGAACUUUGAGAGCCUAAAAUCAAAAUCAUUGACUAAACUCUAUGACUAUUCUUAGGGUAUGUUUGGAUUGAGGGUUUAGGAAGGGAAGGGAGAGUUUACUUUUCUUUUUUAAAUUCCGGACUAUAUAACAUAUUUUUUUAAAAUAAAUUUAGUAUGAUUGAAGUAUGAUAUGAUUGUUUAUCAUGAUAAUAUGUUAACUUUUUAAAAAAAAAAAAACAUUUUUAUUGUGUUCGUAAUCACAUAUAUAUAAGUUUUUAUUGUUCUACUCUAUUUUUAAAACUUCACCAAUCUUCACUUCGAAACAAAAAAGUUGAAAGAUGAUUAAUAUAUGUGGACUAAAUUUUUAAAUAUAAAUAUUGAGUUUUCAAAUACUAUUUUUGUUUAUAUCUCAUUCGGGAGGGAAUAAAUUGUUAUCAUAAUUACAAAAUACAGAUGUUUAACCUUAGGAUUGAGAGUGAAAACCCAUUUAAUUUUAAAGUCUUUUUUUGGACAAUUUGUGACCCUCUAACUUGAUUCCUAAAACAUUGUCGAUUCCAAUUUUAUGAAGGCAACUUCUUUUUUUUUUGUCAGAUUUUAUGAAGGCAACUUAAUCACUUGCUAUAUUAAUAUAUGUCAUAUUCUUAAUUUGACAUCUUGGGACAUUGCAAAUCUUAUGUCAACUACAAUUUAUUUUAGAAUUAAUAUUAAAACAUAUCUACAAUGCUUUCGAACAUUAGAAGAGAAUGUGAAAUGGUACAAGAUGUUUGGAAGCAUUGUAGAUAUCUUUUUUUUUUUUUUAUAAAAGAGGGUAAAAGUCCAUUGUAAAUAUCUUGUUUUAAUUUCUAUCGAAAUGACUUUUUAAAAAGAUUGUUUUUUGAAGAAAUUGGUGAUGAUUUGGCGACAAAAAUGCAAAGAGAAAAAUACUAAAAUGUCUAAUGAAUUUUCUUUUUUUGAGAGAGCCCUAAUGAAUUUUCUUGUUCUUUGUCUGCACAGGGGAACUAAAAUUUUGGGGAUGGUGCGGCUAUGAAGUAUGAUUUAUGAAUCACAUUAUUUAAAAAUAUUAAAAUUAAAAUCAUGAUGAAUGCUAAAAACCUAAAAAAAAAAAAAAAAAAAAAAAAAAAAAACAAGAAAAACCAUCAUUAAUUAAAUGGUAUAGAUGAAUGGAUGGAUAGACACACCAAUUUUUUUUUGAAAAAGCUAAGUGAAUAUAUUAAACAACUAAGAGAAACCCUUCUAGCACAAGAUGUAUUAGAGGAAACUUAAAAAUUUAAAACCUACAAGAAUUACAAAAUAGGUUGUAAGCACAAUAAAACAACGUUCAACCGAGUAAUCAAAUGUAAUAUGAUUUUAACAAAGGCUUGCCAAUUGUUAACAUUUUCAAAUGUUGCCAUAUAAUAUAGUAAUCUUAUAUUCAACUGGUGAACAAAUUCUAUUUAUAAUCAACUAAUAUGAAAAAAUUCAGUCCAUCCACCAUAUGCUUAAUAAAAGGCUUAAUUUUAUUUUGGUCCCAAUAUUUUCACUAAUCACAAUUUUUUUUUUUCUAUUUUAAAAUCAUUCAGCUUUGGUGCCUCCAUCCAAAUUUUGUUGUAGCAAAAUAGUGAUUUGAUAUCUUUUGAAUAACGUAACAUACGACCCGAUUAUGUGAAGUGAUCAACAAUCAUAUAAUUAUAAGAAAAAUUAUUUUAGUUUCAAAUUAUGUUUCACAAAAAAAUACAAAAAUCUAAUGAAGGAAUCAAAACUGAAUGAUUUUAAAAUAUGGGAUAAAUUCCAUAAAUAAUUGAAAAUCGGUGGAUCAAAUAAUUAAAUCUUAAUAAAAAUAAUCUAAUCCAUAUCCAUAUAUAUUAAAAGUUAUUGAUAUAUGGAUAACCAAUCUACCCCUAAAAUUAUAUUUUGAAUCAAUUAGAAAUAUUAAACAAAAAGGAAGACUAGUUACAACAUAUUUUUGAAAAAAUUAAGCUUCAAUGAAUGGUUGAAAGUGAAUCACAUUAAUUUUACUUUCGAGUGUUGCAUGUCACCACUAAACAUUAUCAAAUGCUCCUUGAUUAAUUAUGGUGGUUUCCUUCACACACUAAAAUUUCGGGAUUAGGAGUCACUUUGAGAAAGUCACUACCAUCUUCUGAAAACCUCCCAGUUUGUGAUUUUUCAAGAUUUUGUAAUCUGAUAUCUGGAAUUAAAAUUUUAAAUUGAUGAAGAUGUGAACAGUUAAUAGAUCAUGGGGACUUUGCGGAGGAAAACUAAGGGACAACAAUGAUUAUUGAGAAGCCGCCAAUAGAAAUUUCAACUCCAGAUAUCAUAUUAUAAAAUUUUGGUGACUUCAGAGGUUAGUAAGAUGCAGUAAUCUUCAAAGGUUAAGUAUAUGCUCAGUUGAAAAUGAAAACAGUUCAAAUAUUCCUAACUUGACAAAGAUUUUGUCCAAAAGCUCCGUGCUCUUUUCUUCUGACUUCUUGUAGUAAACAUCGAAAGAUUGCAGGACCAUUAAGAAUUCAUUGUUUUCCUUGAUCACUUUUCAUUAAAUUCACGUAAAAUGAGUUUUGUAUAAUGUAUUUGAAGUUUUGAUGAUAACAAAAUACUCCCUCCAUCCCGAAUUAGCUGAGCCAUUUUUUCUUUUCACACAUAUUAAGACAAAUGUAUAAAUGAAGGAGAGAGAAUAGUGGUUUUAAGUGAUCUUCACUAUCAUAUAUAAAUGCAAAGUGGAAUAUAUUGAAUUGAAAGUUGUGAAAGUAGUAUUAAUUAGAGUUAUAAAAGGAAAAAAGUAAUUAAUAUUGUAUUGAGUUAUAAAGAAUAAUUGGAUGGAUAUGUUAAUGUAUGUUUAAAUGUGUAGGAUUGUAGACUAAAAUUUUAAGUAUUAAAAUCAAGUUUGAUUCUGGAAGAACAUAUACGAGAGCAUUUGAAUAUUGAGGAAAACUGAAGUUCUCGACCAGACUCUAAAGACUCAAGUCUCUAAAGGAUAUCAGACUCUGAAGGUCAGAAGUAUCUGGAAAUUACCUGACUCUGAAGAAUGAAGACUCUAAAGAACACGUCAAACUUAUCGUCUUCUGAAGAUGUCACUAUCAGACUGAGACGGUACAUUUUUUUUUCUUCUGACCACGUGCAGGAACAAACAAAGAACUUCAAAGACAAAUGAAAUGAAAUGGAUAAUUCAUUUUGAAGCAAAGAAAUUUCAAAUAUCUUUUCAACGACAUUAACCAAAUCAAGAAACAUUCUAAUGUCUAUGAUCAAGCUUCUCAAAGACCCUAAAACACGUGAUGGCACCUCUCCAACGCCUCCAAUAUCCUUCACUAUAUAAGGAGUCGAAGACUUAAAUAAAUUAACAAGACUGCUAAAAGUGCCCUUACUAUGUCAAAAUUAAUAGCGCAUUUGAACUUAGAAUUUCUUACAAAUUUUAAAUCUAAGAAAUUCGUAAGUCUUAAGAGUUUUAAUCUGUUUUGUAUUUGUUUACCUCUCUGAUUGUAUAUUAAGUGUAAAAUCAAACAAUCUUUUAUUUGAUUAAGUUGGAUUUUGCGAGAAGUCUUUUUUCAGUUGUGAUUGAGCAUUAAAGUCUCUUGCUUGUGUGCUUAAGCAUUUGUAAUUUUUAGUGAUUAUAGUGAAAAUCCCUUGGAAAUGCAAGGAGACUAGAUUACUCUCGGUUUAUGACAUGAACUAGUACAAAUUGCUCUCUCUCUCUCUCUCUCUCUCUCUCUCUCUCUCUCUCUCUCUCUCUCUCUCUCUCUCUCUCUCUCUCUCUCUCUCUCUCUCUCUCUCUCUCUCUCUCUCUCUCUCUGUGUGUGUGUGUGUGUGUGUGUGUGUCUGUUUUGGUCUUAUAACCUCUGCAUUCAGAACUCUACAUCAGACUUUAAACACUACAUUCAGACUCUGAUUAGUAAGAACACUUAGAAAAGGUAAACACAAUUCAACUCUACAUCAGACUUUAAACACUACAUUCAGCUUCUCAAACUCAUACUCGGUGAUUGAGGCAAGGUCACUAGUCCAAUAUAUAGAAAACUUACGCUCACCUUCAAAUACUAGCGUAGCUUCAAGACAAUCCCCCCAUCUCCCUCUCUUGAACUCAAAAGUAUUUCUCCUUACAGUUCUUAUAGUUUGAUAUAUAAGUUGGAAAUUGGCUCCUAUUGAGAUGGGUGCUGGUAGAGACCUAUAAUCUUUUAUCAAGGCCCUUGUUUCAUAUAAGGAAAAAAGCAUGCCCAUUGAGGGCUGAAACCAAUGUUUUAAAAAUCGAACCGGACCGAUUCAACCAGUUGACCCGGGAACUGGACCAAACACCGGUCCGGACAACACUUUAAAACCAGAAGUCUAUAGAACUAGAAAGGAACCAAGAAAACCGAUAUAAACUGGGAAAAAUGGAAAAACCGAUGAGUUGGUUUUGGUGAACCGUCCAGAUUCACUUUUCUUCUAAAUUUCUUUUCCAUAAAAAAUUCUUCUUUCCCUUUUGAUUUGUGGAUAUUGAAAUUUUAAGAGUUUCUAAUUUUUUUUGUAUGAUAAGACUUUUAUUUUUGUGUACCUAUAUGCUAGAUGUUGAAGAAUCUGGAUCUGCUUGUUUAUUUUUGAAGGAGUUCUUGGUGUUGCACUAACAAAAAUAAUUGGGUUGUAUAAUAUUAUAAAUAAGAAAAAAGAAGAAACAUCAUCACAUAAAGCAUAAGAAUAAGAAAUAAUAAGAAUAUGUGCUAUGAAAGAAGAAGAAUAAUGGAAAACAGCAUCCUAUGUGUGUAAUGCAUCGUGUGAAAAAAAGAUGUCAUUUAGGGUUACAAAAGGAUUGUUGAAUACAAUUAUAUUGGCUAUAAAAGAUUAAUUCAAUUGGGCUAUAAAAGAUUGGUGAAAAAAAGUAUUUUGGAUCUAUAAAGUGUUGGAACAAAAUAAUAUGGACUGUAAUCUAUAAUAAAAAAUUAAAUUUAUUUAUCAAUUAUUAAUAAUCUGGUUUAAUAACGGUUUAACCGGUUGAACCGGUUGAACCUUGACCCGAACAUCACAACGGUUUAACCUCUGGUCCAAUUUUAUAAACAUUGGCGAAACCCCAAGCUUUCGCACGAGAUCUCGAAACCGCACAUGAACGCACAACAGUUUGGAUGAAGUUGUGAUGAAGCGACGUUAAGAGCCUUAAGGAAAUCACACUCAAAGUUAGUAAAAGGAAACUUAAACCCUAUAUCCUCAAAAACAAACGAAUACAUAUGAAGCAUCUCCAUCUUCACUCCCUAAGGACAUUGGAGGCACACCUUCUCGCCAAGCCUACAAGGUUCCACAAUAAUAUCUGCCUCCCAAAUAGUAUACGAGAUAUCCACUUUACUCCUAAAAAAUGACACCCUCUUGUUGGUUACGAAAAGAGAGUCCAAGCAGACAACAACCACAGCAAAGACAUGGGAUAACAAAUUUCCCUCUUACCUACUCCUGGGGAACGAGAAAUUAAACCACAAUCAAUAUCCUAGCUAGAACUAUCAUCAUUACUGUCAGAAUCACUCGAAAUCUCUCCCAAUAGUAAAUGUCUAUAAUAACCCAUUUCGAAGACAACCUGUUUGUAACUCCAAUCCAGAUGUUUUGUAAUUUUGAUACAAGAAUUUCACAGUUUACUCUUCUUCUCAAAUGUAUCGGGAUUGACAACCCUUCCAGACUCAUCCCCCCCCCCCCCCCCCCCCCCAAAGAAAUUUCUUAACAGAGAAGGUUAAGACACUUGAAGAUAUGAAAAAAGGGUAAAAAGCCAAAAAGCAUAAAGAAACGAAAGAACAAUGGGAAAUGGAGGAGAAUCUCUCUUAUAAGGACAUAAAAACAACAAUAAAGCUACCUCGGGUCACCAAAUGACUAUAAGUAGUGAUUGGGACAAGUGUCAAAGAGAGGUAAUGUCUACGAAGGUAAAGGUGCACAACUAAAAAAAUGAACCCUCAUAGAUUGUGAGUCAUCAGAUCAAUCUUGCAUACCACACCAAAACCUCAAGGGGGGCAUAUCACACUCAGCCACUUUACCCUUACAAAGGACUCGUGCUUGGGGGGUUGUGGAUCCUCAUAUCUCAUUCAACCACUUUGCUCUUAACUGGGACUCGUACUUCUCUAAGUCAUGUUUUUAGUUCUGAUACAUCAAGCUUUGAGCACAAAGGAAAGCAUUUUGAUACUCAAGAGAAACACUGGAACUUUUGAAUAUAAGAUAACAUGAAGAAAGGUUAACAAAAUAGUCAAAGCUAUAAUCAGAAAAUGCAUCAAACCUUGAAGGCUCUGAUGAGAACAAGCUCUAAUGGACUCAUACUCUGAAGAAAGCAAGUUAUGAAAGACAUGUCGGCAGAUUGGGUGACUCUAACCUGUUUUGUCUUCUUCUGAAGGAACGUCGCUUUCAAAGUUUUGAUAGGUCUAUUUGUUUUCUUCUGACCACAUGCAGAAACAAAUAAAGAAAUUCAAUGAUAUAUAGAAUGUAAGAGAUCAAUCGUUAAUAAGCAACUGAUUUCUCUAGUACUACUCCAUGACAUUAUCCAAUUAGAGGCAAAGUUUUCAAAAUUGAUUUAAAGUUUCUCAAGGACAAUUUUGAUGCGUUGCACCAAAUGAUUUCUCAUUUCUCUCUUAUAUAAGGACCUAAGCAGUUUGAAGAAAUUAAGAGAUGAAAAUAUUUCACAAGUGUCAAAACUCUGUCGAAUUCAAAAGCGUUCAAUCACUUAAUUCUUACAAACUUUACAUCUUAGAAUUGCUUAGUGUAACAAGUUACUUGAACCUCAAGUUUUGUUUGCCACUCUCUUAGUAAAAAGUGUAAACAGAAUCUCAUUUAUUUGUUAAACUUUGAUGGUAUAAGUCCUCUUGUGUGAGGUAAUAAAGUCUCAACUUGCGUGUUUGAUAAAUUAUAAUCUUGUGUGAUUAUAGUGAAAAAUCAUUUGGAAGUGCAAGAGGACUGGACUAACCUCGGAUUAUUGAGUGAACUAGGAUAAUUGCUUGUGUUGUUUCUCUUCUCUCACCCAAUGACCAUCUGUUUGUUUUGUUUAAACACUUAAAAAGAUUUUCAAAAAAAGCCAACAUAAUCUCCCCUGCGUUUUUCUCACCUUCUAGGAUAAGAACAAGUGCCUAAAGUAAGAGCACAACCAAAGGUGCAAGUGGCUGCCCUUAUCUCGUAAACCAAAGUCGAACUGCUAAAUCCAUGGCCUUCAAGCGAGACAUAAGGUUACACAUAAGCUUGACGUGCCCGUCACUAUAGGAACGAACCGGCAAAAAGCUCAAUGAUAGACUCUUAUGUUGUUACAAACCAAAGGGGACCUAGAAACACUAUAUACAGAACCUCUGAGAUCAUUCCCGACCCAUGACUUAAUGGGUAGCAUUUAGGUGACAUAGCUUUUGGUGACAUUGUCCUUAUCUCUAUUAAUUAAUUAUUCUAAAAUGCAUUAAUGUCAUCAAAAAACUAUGUCAUCCAAGUGAAAUCCUGAUUACAAAAACCUAAGAGUUUCGUCUUAUUCACAGACUUAGUUUUAUAUUGUAUUAUCACUACAACUAUGAAUAAAAUGAACUAGUUGGGUGUUUGUAUAAUAAUGAUAAUGAUAAUAAUAAUAAUAAUAAUAAGAAUGGAUUUUUUUAAAUGCAAUAACAAUAAGGGACCGUGGGUCAUAAGUUAACACGGUUUCCUCCAACAACAAAAAAAAAUUAUGCUCACACGGUAACAACGCGGAUGAAACUAAGGAACAAGCUUUAAAUCAACAAAACAAAAACAAAAAAGAAGCAAGGAAGAUGCAAAGAAACUUACAUGGAAUGGAAAUAGCAAGGAAUGUUCGUGAAAAAAUCUAUAUAAGCAUGUUUUGUGUCCUCUCCACUCAUGAUUCAACAAAAAAAUUUCAUUUCUACUUUCACAAACAAUAACAUAGAUAGGCCAGACAGAGAAGUAUAAAAUCUUUGACACCACUGCUUGUCAUUCAAAAUUAAAGGUAUAUAUUUCCCCUUUCAAUUUAGAUCCUGUUGGUUUCUCCUUUAAUAGCAUGUUCUUUGUUCGAUUAAAUUAUAAGAAGGAAAGAAGGAAGGUACAAAUUUCAUUGUUCUCUUUUUUGUUUCAUAUUUAAUUUGGUUUCAGAUCUAGCAAUUAAAUUAAAUAAAUGGUUGGAGUAACACUAGAAAUCUGGUUUGACAGCAUGCAUUUUGUUGACCACGCUAUAUGGACAAACUUACCUUAUCUUAUCUUAUCUUAUUUUAUUUUAUUUGUUUAUUUGUACUGUUUUAUUUUUCCUUUUUUAAAAGUAAAUUCUUAUGUACCCUAAAACUUGAUUGAAUUUUUGUAUUUUGUAUGUAAAGUUUAUUUAAGUUUGAUUUUAAUUUUAAAUAAAUUAAUAUAAAAUAUGAUGUGACAUUGAUUUAUUGUGUGGUCAUUCUUUUAUUUUUGAGGUAAGUUUUUAUGUGGUUGUUUCGAACAAAGAACAUGCUAUUAAAGGAGAACAUGCUAAUAUUUCUCUUUAAUUUUUUUACUAAAUAAAUUCUCCUAUUCUUAUCCAUAACAAAAAAACAACAGAUCACUCCUAUUAUUUCCUUUUAUUAAAAAACAAAACAAACCUAUUUUUUUAUUAAAAACAAAAGAAAAUCAUCCCCUUUAUAUGAAAAACAAAACAAACCUAUUUUUUAUUAAAAACAAAACAAAAUCGACCCCUAUUUUUUUAUGAAACCUAAACUAAACUAAUUACCCUAUUUUUUUAUGAAAAAUAAAAUAAAUUAAUUUUGUUAAGUCUGCAACAACUUAAUCUAAUUUUUUUUCCUCCCUGAUCCUUUGUUAGGUUUGCAACAACUCAAUCCUAAAAGUUUGGCUCUAAAUUUGUAUCAUAUAUGUUUUUCAUUUCUCUCUCUAAUAACCGUUAAUAUUUUUCAAAGCAAAAAUAGAUAUCUUAAUCCUUAUUAUUUAUUAAGGAAAUCCUUAUUUUAACUAUAAAAGUAAUAAAUAAAAUUAACUCGUAAAACAAUAUAAUUUUAUAUUCUUUUUAUCUUUUUUCUUUAUCAUUUGAUUGUAUUAUUGUAUAUCUAAUAAUUUAAUUUGCGUUUAUUGAUCGAUCCGUGAUCUUACGGGUUAAAGAUUAUUUAUUGAUCUCUAUUAUAGUCGAGAAGACCCGUGCGUCGUACGGAUCAAAAGUCUAAUUUAUGAUUAUUUCUUUUCGUGCGGAGUUGGUAGCAUGAAUUUCAGAAUUUGAACCCGGUGAUGAUAUUCUAUCUUGCUAUCCUGAUUUCUUUUGUUCUUUCUUCUCCUUUUCUUUUUCUUUAGAUUAUUAAUGAUAUUCUACUUCUAAAUUUUAUAAAUUAGUUCAUAGGUCAUAAAUAAUGUUUGAUAAUUACUGGUUGAACCUGUGGAUAAGUUGACUAAGAGCAGAAAAGUUAGCAGAUUUAAGUUACAAUGUUUGAUAAAAUUAACGAUUGAAUUAGUUGAUAAAUAUAAAAUGUUAUAGAAAAAUAUUUUUAAUUAAUGUUUAGUGUUUUCCAUUAAGAUAAUAGCUACUUAUAUAAAAUAGCUUAUAAAAAACGUAAUAAAAAUUCUUAUAACUCUUGUGUAAAAAUUGUUACUAAAUAGGUCUAAUUUGACCAUAUGAACUCAUAAUAUAAACUUGAAAAUUGACUUGACCAAACCACAAUAUAAUUUUGCAUCCCUUGGUCAGGGGUUCUGGCUACACCACUAGUUGUUGUUCAAAGAUUUGAAGUACAAUAUCUGGUUUCAGUAGUUCCUCUACUUCUUCUUUUUUGUCAUUAUGCUAUAUAUUUAUAUUUUAAUUUAUUUGUUUCUUAACAUGAUGUAUAUAUGAAUUAUGAAAUGUUGACAUCAUAUUUCUGCUGCCACUUAGGAAAAACAAAACAAUAACCAUGCUCACUCUUGCAAGCCUUGGUUGGUACUUGGUAGAACAAGGCAUUCCACAGGGUAACCCAGAGGCAUUGCUAGUGUGGUCUACAUUUGAUUCAGAGUGAGGAUUUAAACUAUAAAUACUCUGUUACUUAUCUAUCCACAAAUUGUUUAUUGUUUAUUGAUAUUUUGUCAUUUUUAAAGUUCAAUGUAACACUAAUAUUAUUUUAUUAAUAACGUUCUUAAUUAUUUAUUGUACAUAGAAUGUGAGCUGAUAAAUAAUAAAAAAAAAAAAAACUUUACAUUACAGAAAAAUGACAAACAAUUUUAUCAAAAAUAAUAAAAUUUAGGUUUAAGUAUGCAAAUGUUUAUUUUUGUCUAUGUAAAAGAAAUCUUAUGUUUUUAGUCAUAUAAAUAUGUAACUUUUCCAUUUGAUCUUUGUUGUUAUGUUUAAAUCCUUACAAGAUUGAUUCAUAUUGAAAUCGAUCUUUUGUAACAUCUAGAAUAUUUGAUUUUAGUCUCUUUAAAUAAAGACUAAAAUGGAUAUUAUAAGAAGUAAUUUCAACGCGAACAAAUUUUGUUGAGACAAACGCUAAUGACAUAAACAAAAGAUUGCAAACUCGCAAGGACUAAAAAAAUGAUUUGUAGGCAUUGAUUAAAAACUUAUUUAAACCUAAAAUUUAUUCGAUUUUUAUCAAGUGUAAAUAGCCUUUAAAAUGAGUAUAAUAUGCAUUUGUUUCGUCAAUUCUUUAUGGAUAGUGUCUUUAUUCACCUCUGUUAUUGUUCGUGUAUGUAAACAUGAAUUACAAUAGAUGAGCUAUUCAGUGGAGCUUCCUAUGAGGAGCUCUAAGAAUACUCUAAAAUGACUAAGGUGAAAACACAAUGGUUAAGCUAGAAUGAAUCCAUUUACUUCUCUCUAGGUGUCUCCUUUUGUAGGCCCCACUUUCUUGACCUAAUGGGCCUCUUUGUUCUGGCCCAUUAACCCUCUAAGGUCCAUAUGACUCAUUUAUACCAGGCGCGUGGAGCUGAUCAUGUUUCAUGCUCAUUCGUACAAGGUGCUUGGAGUCAAGGGUAGACAACUCAUGUCACUUGUCCGUGCAAGAUGGGUGGCACGUUAUGAGAUACCUUCAAGAGGAGGACCACAAUGUUGCUUGGACAACAACCUGAGAGAGAGCUAGUGAUGUUGAAAGUGGAGCUAAUGUGACCUGAAUGAUCAAGCUGAGCAGGUGGAGCUCAAGUGACCUGAACGAUCAAGCUGAGCUGAGCAGGUGGAGCUCACGUGACCUGAAUGAUCAAAUCGAGCUAAGCAUAUGGAGCUCAUGUGACCUGAACGAUCAAACCGAGCUUAGCAUAUGGUAUAGUCAAUGUAUAGGAGAGUCCACGUGGUAUGGUUUUCCAUACCAAUCCAAUUAUGAAUUGGUUCUUUUGCACCAAGAUUCAUUCAAAAUACUUACAAAAAUCAUAUCUUUAUUUUGGAUUGCGAUUCUCUCCCUUGAGAUUUUCACUGGAGGGAGUCCGGUGAAAAUCUGCACGGUUUAAAUUCUUCUCAAUUAACUUUGAUCGCAUGUGGAAAAUCAAUGAAUCUAAGAUCUCAUUGUAGAAAAAUAUCACUAGCGAGGAUUUAUUCCCCUUUUUUUUUUCUCACUUUUGACAAACUUCACGAUACACCAAAUGUUGAAAGAAACUUCAGGAACCAAUAUCUUCAAAAGCCACUAUUUGUUCGAUAUUCAAUUCAAGGGAUAGAAAUCAACAAGUGUAGCAAAACAUGAAGGUUCAUUUGUGUUAUAAAAAAAUGUGCUGAGAAUAUUUCACUUGCAUUUAUAGUGAAAUCACUUGCAUUUACGAGCACAUAUAUGGUAAUCUCUUUAAACACAUACUCCCUCCGUUUUUUAAUAUAAGCAAAUUUUGAUUUUUAGGUUCAUUCAAUCAAUGAUGUAUGUGGUCUAUAAUAAACCACAUACAUCAUUGAUUGAAUGAACCUAAAAAUCAAAUUUUGUUUAUCUUAAAAAAUAGAGGGAGUACUUAUAAACCGGAGACAAGAACAUUAAAAAUCUUGGUAAUAACACUAAUUUAUAAUCACCAGUGAAAUGAAUGAACAACGCAUGCAGUGCAACAAGCAGGGGCGGUUUUAAGGCCCGGCGACCCCGGGCACUCGCCCGGGCUCCAGGCCAAAUUUUUUGCAAUUUCUUUUGUAAAUUCCUAUGAAUUUCUUAUAUAAACCCCUAUAAAUUGGGCAAUUUUUUUAUAUUUUUUAUUAUUUGCUUGCAAUUUCUUAUGUACGCCCUAUAAAUGUGUUGCAAAAUUUUUUUUUGCCCGAGCUUUACAAUAUUCCUAGCUCCGCCACUGACAACAAGAUUCACAUAAUAAGACCGUGGAAUAUAACAACAAUGAGGAACUAAUAGAAAAAAACAUGAUAUGCUGAUGGAAUAUUCUUGAUAGAGUUGUGCCUUUAUUUUUCUCAUUUUUCAUGUAGAAAUAGUGACAAGUGGCUUGGGGUCAAAUGUACUAUUCAUUGUUCUAUGUACGGCAUAUUUAGGGUUAUUGAUUAGGUAAUGGUGGUGUUUGAUAAAGUUUUAUGUAAUUAGACGUCUACUCGUGCUGCCGCAUGGGUCAGAUAAAGUUAAAAAUGUAACUUGAAUCAAUAUAAAAUUGUCAAUGUGGUGAUUGUUUGCUUUUGUUAAAAUGCAGUUGAAUUAGUGUGGUUAAUUUGAUGGAUUAUUGAGAACCUUUUGCCUUUUGUUAGGCACCAAUUCGCCAGCAUCUCUUUCAGACAUGAUUGCAGAGUCAUAUGUUGCAGAGGUCAUUCCAUGGGAAGUAAUAGAGCGAAAAAAUGGUAAAUAUGUACUACCUUCGUUCCUUUUUAAUUGUCACAUUUUGACAUUUUACACAAACCAAGACAAUCAAUAAUUGAUACUACUUUUGAUGCAAUAAGCUAUAAUUUUACUAUAAUGACCUUAUUCAUUUAAUAUCUCAUUUCAUAUAUUUCUCUCUCCGCAAUAAAUAACUAAGGAUAAUAUUGGUAAAACAAUAUUUAAUGUUGCAUUAAACUUUGAAAGUGACAGUUAAAUAGGAACAAAAAUUUUCUUCAAAAGUAACACUUAAAAAGGAACGGAGGGAGUUAUAAACCAGAAGUUUUACUACAUAAUUCAAUUGGAAAGAUUAUAACAGAUUGGUCCCAAUGUAUUGAGAAACGCAUAAGACUACAUGAAAAAGCAAUAGUCUGGUUGAUAUUGCUUGUAAUUGAUAACCGCAACAAUAAAUGACAGGUUGACAGUGGGAAACUCAAUAGACGCUUGUAUACAACAAUUAUAUGCAAAAAAUAAUGUUAUCUUCUAUGGUAAAAACUCAAGAGUCUAGUUCAUAAUGCUUGCACAUGACAUCAUAGGCCAACUUAAUUAUCUAAUAAAAAAUUGAAAUAAACAUUACAUUGCUGACCAUAGUUAAAAUAUUAUUUUAUCUUGUUUGGUAAUGUGUUUUUAUUAAAAAAUAUCUACAUUACUUUGCUGCGAUAGGUAACUUAUUUUUUUUUUUUGGCUUUCGCAUUGGUUUCCAACUAUCAGAGGUGAGCGACUAAUCCGACUCAUGCGUAUAGGCAUGCGCACUGGCCAAGUGUUGUUCUCCCUAGGAAUCGAAUCCGGUAUUCCUUGGGUACAUCCUUAAAAGGAGCUCCUUGCAACUGGAGCCCAAACAACUUGGUUAUAGGUAACUAAAUUUUGUGAACCGCCUAAUUAGCAUAAAAGCAUGCAUGUACAUUAAUUUUUUGACUAUCCAAUUAGUUGUUUAUUAAUUGAAGGAUUAUUUUCAUAUAUUUUGGUAACAAAAAAAAAAAUUAAACAUGGUCAUCAAUUUAUGCACCACGCGUAAUUGGUUGUAUUUUGACUUAAAUAAUAAUUUCAGAUUUUGACUUAAACAAAGUCUAAAGCAACCAUAUCAAUUGCUUUUCUUUGCUACUUAUUUGCACGGGUAGACUCAAAGAAAAUUUAAAGAUUUUUAAUUUUAUUGGCUAAGAUUGCUCAACUAAUUUAAAACAAAAAUACAUACUACAUAGGAAACAUUUUCAUUCUCUCGUAAGAUGUAUAAUUUGACGAUUUUUAAGCUACUACUCAAUUACGAUUCCAUGUACAACAUUAUUUGAAAAUUAUAGAGCAUAGGUAAAUUGCAUAUUAUUAUUAAUUGGAUUACAGCAAAAGUAAGACAUGUCAUUCAUGUCGUUUAGACUUUGAUAUCCAAAUGGAUUCUCUUAAUACUUCAUAUAUGUUCCCCUUGGACUUAACAAUAUAUAGACAAAGGUUUCAUUUAUAGAAGCAAGGCAUACAUAGCAGAAUCUCAUAUAGCAAAGUGCUAAAGAAACGUAAACACUGAAUAACCUGAUUUGAUUUAAGUACAUAAACAUAUGAGUUGUUGCAUUGGCAUCACUCACAAAAAUUAAAGUUCAAGGCGACAAUUACCUUCAAACAUAAUCAGAAGCUAAAUGGAAAUAACAAUGAAACAGACAUAAUUGAAACCAAAUUCAUAAAACAUAAAGAUAAAAGGCCAUAUAUGGCACCAAUACUUGAUUCGAACAACAUGAGUCUUAAAAAAGGGAAAUGAGCACAAAAAAACUAAAUAAAUUAAAUUGAUCCAGAAUGAAGACAAAAUCUGGAUUCAAUUAAACAGUACUUAAUCAGUUAAACUGUCAUGUUCCUCAUCAAGCCGCUUUCUCAAUCUUAACACUUUUGAGCUUACGUGGUUUGUUGAUUGACCUUUCUCCAAGAAUAUCAAUUCCCACCUCAGCAGAUACAUCUGCAUCAGUAGAUCUUUUUUCUCCAGNNNNNNNNNNNNNNNNNNNNNNNNNNNNNNNNNNNNNNNNNNNNNNNNNNNNNNNNNNNNNNNNNNNNNNNNNNNNNNNNNNNNNNNNNNNNNNNNNNNNGAAUAGCUUAUCUUAAAAUGUAAUUCUAGAUAUUUUAUCAUUUUGUUAUAAUUUUUUUGGAUACUAAAAUUUUGAAAAAAUCUUUAAAAAAAAGCUAUUUCAAAUAGCUUUUAUUAAAAUCAUUUUUGAAAUAUGCGAUUUUUACUAUGUAAAAUUUCGAACAAUAAAUAUAUAGGUUAAUGAAUGUCAAAGUGUCUUUUUUAACUUAUAAUAAAUGAAUUUGAAUUUGUAAAAAAAAAAAAAAACAAAUGAAUUUGAAUAACUUAUACUAUUUUUGAAUAAAUUUCAAAAAAAUCUAUUUUGAAAAAUACAAAGAAAAAUCUAUUUUUUUAGAAUCUAUAACAAACAGGCCCUCAAUCACUACUUUUAAUCCCAAUUUUUUUAUUUAAAUUUUAUAUUUUUUAAUCAAAUUGUGCAUAAAUGUGUAAAAUAUUAAAAAAAAAAAAUUAGAAUUUAAAAAAAACACAAAUUAAAUAUGAAUUUUUAAACGUAAAAAAUAUAAAAAAUUGAUAUUAAAUUCAUGUUUGUUAAAAAAUUCUAAUUAUUGUUUGAAAGAUUCUUAUAAUAUUAUGAAUUUUUUUAAAAAAAUUUAUUCAAAAAUAUGAUUCUACGUAUGAUUUUACUUUAAAGAAGGGACCAAAAGUAAAGAUAAUUUUUUUUUUUUUGAGAGACUAUAAGUUGAAGAAUUUUUUCAGAGAGACUAAAACGAAAAACUAACAUAUUUAUAGGGACAAAAAACAUAUUUAAAAUAGCUAAUACAAGCAUAAAACUUAACAUUAUUUGAGCAUUUACAUCAGCACUUAACAUCACUUCAGCACUCUUUGACAAAUUUAGACACACAAACUAUUAAAGAGAUGAAUGAUCAAUAUGAAACUUAAAAUAGCUAAUACAAGCAUAAAACUUAAAGAAUACAUGAUGUAUUUGGCCAAUAAAAUACAUAUAACUCCCAUUCUAAGGUUCUUUCAAAAAAAAAAAACUCCCAUACUAAGGUUUGAAUUAUUUUUUUUGAAUAAACUAAGGUUUGAAAUAUGAAACUUUCAAUUUUAGAGGCAAAGUUUUAUAUCAUAAACUUUUCAAUUUUGAAUCUCGCUGCAACAACUUGAAAUUUCUCAACCAAGUUAUUAUUCAUGGGAGAAACAUUCAAAUAAGUUUAAGAUGAUGAAAUGUCCAUGUUUAAGUGUUUCAUUUGAGUGGUGUAUAUUCUUCAAAAAUUUCAGUUUUGUUAAUUAGAGAAGAAUCGAAUAACCUAUUAAAUCAAAGAGGAAUGAUAUUUAUACAAUCAAUUCUAUACAACUUUUAUGAUAAUUAUUUUUUCUCUCUUCUUAUCGGAUAAAAACAAUAGAGAGAGAAAGAAGAAGAGAGCGAAUAAAAGCCUAUGUGAUCGUUUAAAACUUCAAAAUUAAGUAGAGUAUUUAGCACCCUUGUUGAUAAGUCUCGUAUAAUGGAAAAUACUUGGGUGCCAUAGUUUUUUGGUGCCAUUGAUGACAUAGGUUCAUUUUAGAUAAAAGAUAAUGAUUAAAAUAAAUUAUUUAGAUGAGAGAGAAUGAAUUGUUAAGAGAGAGAUAGACACAAAGUUACCUAUGAAACUAAUAAAACCAAAAAACUACCCAAGUGCUACCCUAUAAUAAUAGCGGUUGUUGAGGGGACAACAUUUGUCAUAUAAAAUAAAAGUAAUGGCAGACGAGCUAACUACGACAAAGGAAGAAUCAAAGAAAGAAGUAAAGAACGUAAGUGGAAAUUUACAAUGAACUUCACAAUAAAAUACAACAAUACUUCUAUAUAAAGAUGUGCAGGAUUUGCUUCUUCUCUUUCAACCACAUACAUAGUCAAAGAUAACCUGGUAACAGAGAAGCACAAAGACUUUGGAACCAUCGUGUUUAUCAUUUCAGAGGUAAAUAAAUAAACUUAGUUCUACCCUUCAAAAAAAAAAAAAAACUAAGUUCUAGAUCCUCGUUGUAACAACCUAGAUUUUCUCGACCUAGUUAGUUAGUUAACUACUCAUGGGAGAAACCACAGAACUGGAUGUUAUUUCAUCACCACAAUUUCAACAAAGAUUCAAACAUGACCAAAAGAAUCUUUGUUGCAUCAAGUGGUUUUCUUUGGUUAAGCGCUGUAUAUUUGUAGUUUUCUAUAAGAAGAAGAAUAAGGAUGAUUUUGAUUCAUGUGUUGGAGAUGAUGACGACAAGCAAAAAAUGGGAAAAGAUGUUGAAGGUAAGCUGAGAGAACUUCUUAAGAUUCUAGAUAAAGAAAAUUUUGGGAAGAAAAUUAGUGGAUCUAUUCUUAAGGGUCCUUUUGAUGUUCCUGCAAAUCCUGAAUUUACUGUUGGUUUGGAUUUGCAAUUGAUUAAGUUGAAGGUGGAAAUUCUCAGAGAAGGUAGAUCUACUCUUUUGUUGACUGGUCUGGGUGGAAUGGGAAAAACAACUCUGGCUACAAAGCUGUGUUUGGAUGAUCAAGUUAAGGGUAAGUACUAAUUCCUAUUUCAUUUUCUCAUACAUGAUUAUAAACAUGUGCUGAUUUGUUCUUGUUAUUUAAAAAUUUGUCAUGUUAUGCUUAUUUUGCUUAUCAAUACUUUCUAAAAAGAUCAUUUUUUCUAAAAAAUCAUUAAAUUCUGCAACUUAAUUAAGCAUUUAUAGUAUAAGUUAUUUCUUCUUUCAAAAAAAAAAAAAACGUAUAAGCUAUUCUAAAAUAAAAUAAAAUUCAGAGUAAAGACCUAAUUUGGUCCUUGAUAAUUUUCUCACGAAUAAAUUUUGUACCUGAAAAAAAGUAAUACCCAAACUAGUUCCUCAUAUUCUCAUACUUGGGACAAAUUAGUCAUUCUGUUAUAAUGAGUUAGACACUAGUUUUUCUUUCGUAUAAAUAUGUCAGAAAGUAAUGUUGGUAUUAUUGAUUGUGAGGAUCCAAAUUGGGUAAUUACUGAAAAAUUAAAAUAAAGUCAAACUGCUUAUGUAAAUAAACUAAAAAAAGCUUAUGACAUGUGUAUAAGCUGUUUUCAUAAGCUCUCUCAAAUUGUCUCACAAGUGCUUAUUUAUGCCAAUAAGUAAGCUCAAAUAAGCCAAUACAUCAGAAAUUUUUGUUGUUGUGGUAUAUGCAUAUAGUGAAAUUAAUACCUAUACUCACAUAUAUGCAUUUGUAGGAGAUAUCUGUUGUAAAAUAUUGGCAUAAAAUUGUCUUAAUAAUAAUCGACAUAUAAAAAUGAGCAACAAUUAAAUGUUAUAUCAAGUAAACUUAUCUGUGCUUAAAACCGUUGUAUCAUUUGGCCAUUGACACAAUUCUAUCAACAUCCUCCACUAACAGUUCAUAUGAAACUUACACAAUAGUCAACCGGUAUAUAACCUGAGGCUUGACGAAGUCACUGUCCUUAAGGAUUUAUCCGUCUCAUAAGUGCAAAUCCCUCCGGAUUCAGCAGGCUCUUCUUGAUUUAAAACCAAUGAUGCAGAACUGGCAAGAAGAAACAUUUACAGGAAGAUGAAGCCCCCAGAUAUGUGUAUCAGACUCAUGAAAAAUCUAUUAAUGUAGCGUAAAAAGCAAAGAGGGAAUUUUGUUUAGACUGUGCAGGAAAAUGAUGUUACAGAUGCUCAUAAACUUAAGGACAAAACUUUAAGAAAAUCAUGGUAAAUUUAGUUAAGAACCAUGUGACAAACACCUAAGGAAUUGUACUAAGUUUUUUCCUAAACUAAAAGGUAGGCAUUAACUUCUCAAAUAUAAUAGUAGCAAUUUAUACUCAAAAGUAUAACUGCCUUCUUAAUUAUUUUCGGUUGCAAAAUAAGACAUGUAACUAAAUUACCUUCAAAUGAUAGUGUAAAGGCUUAGAUUUCCCUCAAAAAAAAGAAAAAAGUGUAAAGGCUUAGAUUUAACCAAGUAAAAUAAUGUGGUCAAAAAAAUUAGACCAAGCCAAAUAUUAAUAUUAAUCAUAAAUAAAAUAAUAAUAAUUUUCUAUUAAUAUUAUUAAACUUUUGAAAUAUACAAAAAUUACAACAAUAUCAACUACUUUGGGCUUAUUGUUCUCUUUUGAUUCUUUAGGUAAAUUCAAGGAAAACAUUAUAUUUGUAACCUUCUCAAAAACACCCAUGCUGAAGAUUAUUGUAGAGAGAUUAUUUGAACAUUGCGGAUAUCCGGUGCCUGAGUACCAAAGUGAUGAAGAUGCGGUAAAUGGAUUGGGACUUUUGCUGAGGAAAAUUGAGGGAAGUCCAAUAUUGUUAGUCCUGGAUGACGUUUGGCCCGGAUCAGAAGACCUAGUCGAGAAAUUUAAAUUUCAGAUAUCAGAUUAUAAAAUUUUGGUCACUUCAAGGGUUGCAUUUUCUAGAUUUGACAAAACAUUUAUCCUAAAGCCUCUUGCUCAAGAAGAUUCGGUAACCCUUUUCCGUCACUACACAGAGGUUGAAAAAAACAGUUCAAAAAUUCCUGACAAAGAUCUUAUCGAAAAGGUGAUUGUCCUUCUUGUACUUACACCUUUUGAGCCCCAAUAUUAUAUAAUCUGCUGAUUACUGACUAUAUUUGUGUGCUUUGAAAUACAGGUUGUGGAACAUUGCAAGGGUUUACCACUUGCCAUUAAAGUGAUUGCAACAUCAUUCCGUUAUCGACCAUAUGAGUUAUGGGAAAAGAUUGUAAAGGAACUUUCACGAGGUCGUUCUAUACUUGAUUCUAAUACUGAAUUACUUAUUCGCCUCCAAAAGAUUUUGGAUGUUUUGGAAGAUAAUGCCAUUAGCAAAGAGUGCUUCAUGGACCUUGCAUUAUUUCCUGAAGAUCAGAGAAUUCCUGUUGCUGCCUUGAUUGAUAUGUGGGCAGAGUUGUAUGGACUAGAUGAUGACGGCAAAGAAGCAAUGGACAUAAUCAACAAAUUAGACUCUAUGAAUUUGGCUAAUGUCUUAAUAGCUAGGUACAAUUUACUACUGAUAUUUUCUUCAAGGCCACUUAAUCCAAAUAUAUCUAACAUGAACUAUAUUAGAUAAAAAUUCAAUAGCUCGUGUAGCUAUUAUGAAUAGCAUUGGAUUCCUUAAUUAACAUUAUAAACAGACCUUUGUACAACUGUCUACUCUGCAUUGAUAAUUUUCAUUCUAAAGGAAAAAGUCAAUAAUUGUAGUUAAAUUGUCUAAUACAGAACAUGCAUAUCUUAUCUAGUGAUAUAAUUUUUCUCUUGAAGGAAUAUUAACUUCUGUUCAAUUCCCAGGAAAAAUGCAAGUGACACAGAAAAUUACUACUACAUAAUCACUUCAUCGUCCUUCAUGAUCUGCUGAGAGAGCUUGGGAAUUAUCAAAACACCCAGGAACCUAUUGAACAAAGAAAAAGACAGCUUAUUAACACAAAUGAAAGCAAAUGUGACCAGAGGCUCAGGGAGAAGCAGCAAGGUACAAUGGCCCACAUAUUAUCCAAAUUGAUUGGAUGGUUUGAUAAACCGAAGCCUCAGAAGGUCCCUGCCCGCACAUUGUCUAUAUCAAUUGGUUCGUUAUACUUGUAACUUUCUAAAUAUAUUACAAGUUAAAAAUAACAUUAGCUCUAAAUAAAUCCUCAAUUGAUCCCAUAUGUGUUGCAUUUGCAGAUGAAACUUGCGCUUCAGAUUGGUCCCAAGUGCAGCCAGCUCUUGCUGAGGUUCUGAUUUUAAAUCUUCAAACCAAACAGUACACAUUUCCAGAAUUGAUGGAGAAAAUGAACAAACUUAAAGCUCUUAUAGUCAUAAAUCAUGGUUUACGCCCUUCUGAACUGAACAAUCUUGAGCUACUUAGCUCUUUAUCCAACCUUAAAAGAAUCAGGCUAGAGAGGAUUUCUGUUCCUUCCUUUGGCACAUUGAAGAAUCUUAAAAAAUUAUCCCUCUACAUGUGUAAUACAAGACUCGCUUUUGAAAAGGGCAGCAUCCUAAUUUCCGACUUAUUUCCUAAUUUAGAAGAUUUGAGCAUGGAUUAUUGCAAGGAUAUGACAGCAUUGCCUAAUGGGGUGUGUGAUAUUAUCUCGUUGAAAAAGCUCAGUAUUACUAAUUGCCAUAAGCUUUCUUUGCUGCCCCAAGAAAUUGGAAAGUUGGAGAAUUUGGAACUCUUGAGCCUGAUUUCCUGCACUGAUUUGGUAGAGCUACCAGAUUCUAUUGGAAGGCUUUCAAAUCUAAGACUACUUGACAUCUCCAACUGCAUAAGCCUUUCAAGUUUACCCGAGGACUUUGGCAAUCUGUGUAAUCUACGAAAUCUCGACAUGACUAGUUGUGCAAGUUGUGAAUUGCCAUUCUCCGUUGUCAAUCUUCAGAAUUUAAAGGUGACAUGUGAUGAAAAGACAGCUGCUUCAUGGGAAUCUUUCCAAUCUAUGAUUUCCAAUUUAACUAUAGAAGUUCCUCAUGUUGAAGUCAAUUUAAACUGGCUUCAUGCAAAUCGCUCCUAAAACCUACGUGCACUCUUCCUUUGCCUUUUCAAGUUGUCGUUGAGGACAUUGAAGCCGAUAGACCAAAAUACUCCGUUUUCUGCUUUGGAACUCGUCAACAUCUAGGGUCAUUCAAAUAUUGAUUCUAGUAGCAAGUAAUGUGCCUACAUGUCUCAAAAAAGGCUUCAUGUUUACGAUAGAUAGGAAGGCAGGAAGUAAUAAAAAAACAAAACAGUCUGAAAAUGAAGAAUGAUGGUGAUACUGAUGCACUAAGGCACAUGGAAAGAAAAUGAAAUCAUGAUGGUUAAGCAUUGGUUUGGAGUAAAAGUGGCAAAGGAAGAGGUAAAGGUGUUAGUAAAUGUGUCCCCCUGUGAAACUGAAACAUCGUCUAGUAGUAUUUUAGGUAAAUUCUAGGCUGCCUUUGAAAAGUUGUGGAUAAGUUACGCAUAUAUCAAUUAAAAACAGCCGCAUGUACUCCUAAUGUUUUUCUUCAAAAAUUACAUGUUUGAUAUAUAUUAUGGAGUACAUGUGACUGAUUUUAAUUGGUUGUGAGUAAUUUAUCCACACCUUUUUAAAGGUAGCCUAGAUCUCGCUGUAUUUUAAGUUUUUAACGUUAAUAAGUUGAUGUGUCAAAGUUGCUGAAGUUGUGCAAAGGCAAAUCCUCAUUUUAAUCCUUCUAAUUUAU
rnacentral:lncRNA from 1 species